rnacentral:tRNA from 1 species
UCAGAACGUAGCUUAAUCACCUAAAGCGCCCGGCCUACACCCGGAAGACUUCGCACUAUUCGAACGUCCUGA